GACGAACGCUGGCGGCGUGCUUAACACAUGCAAGUCGAACGAGACGAUUGAAAGCUUGCUUUCGAAAGUCGAGUGGCAAACGGGUGAGUAACGCGUAGACAACCUGCCUUUGAGAUGGGGACAACAGUUCGAAAGGACUGCUAAUACCGAAUGUUGUAUAUUUUCCACAUGGAAGAUAUAUUAAAGAUGGCCUCUAUUUAUAAGCUAUCGCUCAAAGAUGGGUCUGCGUCUGAUUAGCUAGUUGGUGGGGUAACGGCCUACCAAGGCGACGAUCAGUAGCCGGUCUGAGAGGAUGAACGGCCACAUUGGGACUGAGACACGGCCCAGACUCCUACGGGAGGCAGCAGUGGGGAAUCUUCCACAAUGGACGAAAGUCUGAUGGAGCAACGCCGCGUGAGUGAAGAAGGGUUUCGGCUCGUAAAGCUCUGUUGUCGGGGACGAAUGUGCAUUACUUGAAUAAAGUAGUGUAAUGACGGUACCUGACGAGGAAGCCACGGCUAACUACGUGCCAGCAGCCGCCGCGG
rnacentral:rRNA from 1 species